rnacentral:rRNA from 1 species
UACAGAGGUGGCAAGCGUUGUUCGGAAUUACUGGGCGUAAAGGGCGCGUAGGUGGCCUUUUGAGUCAGACGUGAAAUCCCCCCGGCUUAACCUGGGAACUGCGUCUGAUACUGGAAGGCUUGAGUUCGGGAGAGGGAUGUGGAAUUCCAGGUGUAGCGGUGAAAUGCGUAGAUAUCUGGAGGAACACCGGUGGCGAAGGCGGCAUCCUGGACCGAAACUGACACUGAGGCGCGAAAGCCAGGGGAGCAAACGGG